AUUGAACGCUGGCGGCAUGCCUUACACAUGCAAGUCGAACGGCCGCAAGGUGCUGACGAGUGGCGAACGGGUGAGUAAUGCAUCGGAACGUGCCCAGUCGUGGGGAUAACGCAGCGAAAGCUGUGCUAAUACCGCAUACGAUCUAUGGAUGAAAGCGGGGGACCGUAAGGCCUCGCGCGAUUGGAGCGGCCGAUGUCAGAUUAGGUAGUUGGUGGGGUAAAGGCCCACCAAGCCAACGAUCUGUAGCUGGUCUGAGAGGACGACCAGCCACACUGGAACUGAGACACGGUCCAGACUCCUACGGGAGGCAGCAGUGGGGAAUUUUUGGACAAUGGGCGCAAGCCUGAUCCAGCAAUGCCGCGUGCAGGAAGAAGGCCUUCGGGUUGUAAACUGCUUUUGUACGGAACGAAAAGGCUCUGGCUAAUACCCGAGGCUCAUGACGGUACCGUAAGAAUAAGCACCGGCUAACUACGUG
rnacentral:rRNA from 1 species